GUAUUGGUGGUUCAGUGGUAGAAUGCUCGCCCGCCACGCGGACAACCCAGGUUUGAGCUCGGGCCUGAGACU